rnacentral:rRNA from 1 species
UACAGAGGUGGCAGCGUUGCUCGGAAUCACUGGGCGUAAAGGCGCGUAGGCGGCGCCACAAGUCACUUGUGAAAACUCUGGGCUCAACUCAGAGCCUGCAAGCGAAACUGUGGUGCUGGAGUGAUGGGAGAGGUGCGUGGAAUUCCCGGUGUAGCGGUGAAAUGCGUAGAUAUCUGGAGGAACACCGGUGGCGAAGGCGGCGUCCUGGACCAACACUGACACUGAUGAGCGAAAGCAUGGGGAGCAAACAGGG